GGACCUGUCUUAAACAUGUUACUUACAAAUGAAAUACACCAGGAAAAACAGAUUUUGAUUUAAUAGAAACAGAGAAAAAACAAGAUUGUGCUGAUCUAUAAUAAAAGCAGAAGACACACAAGAGAAGAAUGUGAAAGCAGAUAAACAAGCUGGAAAGGAAUUGUGCCUGGAAAAAUACAGCAGCCUGUGACAGGUGAAACUUUAAGAAAAAUUUGGCGGUCAGAGCUUCUCUCCUUAAAAGAAGCCAUGAGCCUGUGGUUCCAGAAUAUACUUCCAUGACGUGUGUGGAAUGAGGAUGGUGAUAUAAUAGGAUUGGGGGACUUGGAGGGCCGUGGGACUACUGGCAAAUAUAGUGGAAAGCCAAGUAUCAAUGAUGUAAUACUGUCUUCCCUGUGACAUCACCAAAAUGUAAGUACAUUUCCUAAACACUACAAAAGGCCAAACUGAUUUAUUCUUUGGAAGGGGAUAAGGGACAUAACUCAGCACUGGAUCUAAUCCAAAACUGGGUACCCCCUAAAUAUUAUCCUGAAAGUAACUACAAAUUCUGGGGGGACAAAUCUAAACAACAACCACAAGAGGACUCCAGUGACUGAACCAAAGCAGGCAGAAUUUGGACAUGAGGAAAAUGCUGAAAAUUAUGAACACUCACUGAAGCAGGACUGUUCCACACAAUGACCUGAUGAAUUCUGAGCCUUAUCUAAGAAGUUGUUUAUAAACUUUAUGCUGUUCCCUGAAGAGAGAAGAGCUAACAGCAUGAUGAUCGAAAUUAAAUUUUUAAGAAUGGAGAUAGCAUUUUUAAUCAUGGGGAAAUUGCCAUCUCAGUAUUCUUAAAAGAUGUUCAAUAUUUAAAUACGAGCAUUUCAAGAUCUAAUGAAGCAUAUGCAAUAUUUAAUUGAAUCAUAAUUUUCCUUUAGAAAACAGGGAGCUUCUCACAUAUACAUUUUCAUUAAUUGUAUAGUAGUUCUCAAGAUUUAUCUUAACAAAACAAAUUAAUCUUAACAAAACAAUUAAGAAGGAACCAUUGGUCUUUAGUUAUUCAAAAUCUGAGUGGAACUGACCACCGAGCUCUGCACUGGUAAUGCAGUCAGAAUCAGUAUUUGAGUAAGGCAAUUGUAUCUCAAUACAUGACGUAUGUGGAUAAUUCACAUUAGUACAAUAUUAAAAAGACUCUUUGUUUCUGGUAAA